CCACCUUUGACAUGUACGGAAUCCUUUAGAGAUAGAGGGGUGCUCGAAAGAGAACCGUAACACAGGUGCUGCAUGGCUGUCGUCAGCUCGUGUCGUGAGAUGUUGGGUUAAGUCCCGCAACGAGCGCAACCCUUGUCAUUAGUUGCUACAUUCAGUUGGGCACUCUAAUGAGACUGCCGGUGACAAACCGGAGGAAGGUGGGGAUGACGUCAAGUCCUCAUGGCCCUUAUAGGUGGGGCUACACACGUCAUACAAUGGAUGGUACAAAGGGUCGCCAACCCGCGAGGGGGAGCUAAUCCCAUAAAGCCAUUCGUAGUCCGGAUCGCAGCCUGCAACUCGACUGCG
rnacentral:rRNA from 1 species